UCACUUCUCAAGGAUUACAAGGUUGGCAAAGCUUACGGAUAUUUCACAAGUGGCUGGCUCCAAGAAGUUUUUUUAUUACCAUUUGACAGGUGAAAAGAAAUGCAUCUUAAGAGCUAAGUGCACCCCCUCCCAAAGGAUUCGAGAUGAUUUACAUGACUGCUGGACAGCAAUAUCAGAAGAGGAUGGUGAAGUUUUGGGAGCCUACUGCACAUGUACUGCAGGACUGGGGCAAAUAUGCAACCAUGUUGCUGCCUUGCUUUUUUUGCAUUGAGGCUGCUAAUCGGUAUGGGCAAACGUCAUGUACCAUGGCCAAAUGUGGUUUGGUGCAGCCAAAGGCAAUGAAGGAUUUGGAGCCCCAGAAAAUUUCAGCCUUAUGUACCAGCCUGAAGAAAUCUUCUCAAGCUAAAAAUGCUAAAAGCAGACCACUGGUGGCUACUGAAAAAAAAGUACAACCCUCUUGAAAUUGAGGAAUCCAACAACACGGUACUUGACAGUUUUACCAUUGCACUCUGUGGAGUUGUCCCCGAGGCCUGUUUAUUCAAAGGUUUACCUCAGACUGGUGAUGUAUUAACUUCAGCUCUGGGAACAGAGGGAACGCUAAGAACAAGUAAUCAAG